rnacentral:rRNA from 1 species
GGUUAAGCGACUAAGCGUACACGGUGGAUGCCCUGGCAGUCAGAGGCGAUGAAGGACGUGCUAAUCUGCGAUAAGCGUCGGUAAGGUGAUAUGAACCGUUAUAACCGGCGAUUUCCGAAUGGGGAAACCCAGUGUGUUUCGACACACUAUCAUUAACUGAAUCCAUAGGUUAAUGAGGCGAACCGGGGGAACUGAAACAUCUAAGUACCCCGAGGAAAAGAAAUCAACCGAGAUUCCCCCAGUAGCGGCGAGCGAACGGGGAGCAGCCCAGAGCCUGAAUCAGUGUGUGUGUUAGUGGAAGCGUCUGGAAAGGCGCGCGAUACAGGGUGACAGCCCCGUACACAAAAAUGCACAUACUGUGAGCUCGAUGAGUAGGGCGGGACACGUGGUAUCCUGUCUGAAUAUGGGGGGACCAUCCUCCAAGGCUAAAUACUCCUGACUGACCGAUAGUGAACCAGUACCGUGAGGGAAAGGCGAAAAGAACCCCGGCGAGGGGAGUGAAAAAGAACCUGAAACCGUGUACGUACAAGCAGUGGGAGCCUCUUAAUGGGGUGACUGCGUACCUUUUGUAUAAUGGGUCAGCGACUUAUAUUCUGUAGCAAGGUUAACCGAAUAGGGGAGCCGAAGGGAAACCGAGUCUUAACUGGGCGUUAAGUUGCAGGGUAUAGACCCGAAACCCGGUGAUCUAGCCAUGGGCAGGUUGAAGGUUGGGUAACACUAACUGGAGGACCGAACCGACUAAUGUUGAAAAAUUAGCGGAUGACUUGUGGCUGGGGGUGAAAGGCCAAUCAAACCGGGAGAUAGCUGGUUCUCCCCGAAAGCUAUUUAGGUAGCGCCUCGUGAAUUCAUCUCCGGGGGUAGAGCACUGUUUCGGCAAGGGGGUCAUCCCGACUUACCAACCCGAUGCAAACUGCGAAUACCGGAGAAUGUUAUCACGGGAGACACACGGCGGGUGCUAACGUCCGUCGUGAAGAGGGAAACAACCCAGACCGCCAGCUAAGGUCCCAAAGUCAUGGUUAAGUGGGAAACGAUGUGGGAAGGCCCAGACAGCCAGGAUGUUGGCUUAGAAGCAGCCAUCAUUUAAAGAAAGCGUAAUAGCUCACUGGUCGAGUCGGCCUGCGCGGAAGAUGUAACGGGGCUAAACCAUGCACCGAAGCUGCGGCAGCGACACUAUGUGUUGUUGGGUAGGGGAGCGUUCUGUACGCCUGUGAAGGUGUACUGUGAGGUAUGCUGGAGGUAUCAGAAGUGCGAAUGCUGACAUAAGUAACGAUAAAGCGGGUGAAAAGCCCGCUCGCCGGAAGACCAAGGGUUCCUGUCCAACGUUAAUCGGGGCAGGGUGAGUCGACCCCUAAGGCGAGGCCGAAAGGCGUAGUCGAUGGGAAACAGGUUAAUAUUCCUGUACUUGGUGUUACUGCGAAGGGGGGACGGAGAAGGCUAUGUUGGCCGGGCGACGGUUGUCCCGGUUUAAGCGUGUAGGCUGGUUUUCCAGGCAAAUCCGGAAAAUCAAGGCUGAGGCGUGAUGACGAGGCACUACGGUGCUGAAGCAACAAAUGCCCUGCUUCCAGGAAAAGCCUCUAAGCAUCAGGUAACAUCAAAUCGUACCCCAAACCGACACAGGUGGUCAGGUAGAGAAUACCAAGGCGCUUGAGAGAACUCGGGUGAAGGAACUAGGCAAAAUGGUGCCGUAACUUCGGGAGAAGGCACGCUGAUAUGUAGGUGAAGUCCCUUGCGGAUGGAGCUGAAAUCAGUCGAAGAUACCAGCUGGCUGCAACUGUUUAUUAAAAACACAGCACUGUGCAAACACGAAAGUGGACGUAUACGGUGUGACGCCUGCCCGGUGCCGGAAGGUUAAUUGAUGGGGUUAGCGGUAACGCGAAGCUCUUGAUCGAAGCCCCGGUAAACGGCGGCCGUAACUAUAACGGUCCUAAGGUAGCGAAAUUCCUUGUCGGGUAAGUUCCGACCUGCACGAAUGGCGUAAUGAUGGCCAGGCUGUCUCCACCCGAGACUCAGUGAAAUUGAACUCGCUGUGAAGAUGCAGUGUACCCGCGGCAAGACGGAAAGACCCCGUGAACCUUUACUAUAGCUUGACACUGAACAUUGAGCCUUGAUGUGUAGGAUAGGUGGGAGGCUUUGAAGUGUGGACGCCAGUCUGCAUGGAGCCGGCCUUGAAAUACCACCCUUUAAUGUUUGAUGUUCUAACGUUGGCCCCUGAUCGGGGUUGCGGACAGUGUCUGGUGGGUAGUUUGACUGGGGCGGUCUCCUCCUAAAGAGUAACGGAGGAGCACGAAGGUUGGCUAAUCCUGGUCGGACAUCAGGAGGUUAGUGCAAUGGCAUAAGCCAGCUUGACUGCGAGCGUGACGGCGCGAGCAGGUGCGAAAGCAGGUCAUAGUGAUCCGGUGGUUCUGAAUGGAAGGGCCAUCGCUCAACGGAUAAAAGGUACUCCGGGGAUAACAGGCUGAUACCGCCCAAGAGUUCAUAUCGACGGCGGUGUUUGGCACCUCGAUGUCGGCUCAUCACAUCCUGGGGCUGAAGUAGGUCCCAAGGGUAUGGCUGUUCGCCAUUUAAAGUGGUACGCGAGCUGGGUUUAGAACGUCGUGAGACAGUUCGGUCCCUAUCUGCCGUGGGCGCUGGAGAACUGAGGGGGGCUGCUCCUAGUACGAGAGGACCGGAGUGGACGCAUCACUGGUGUUCGGGUUGUCAUGCCAAUGGCACUGCCCGGUAGCUAAAUGCGGAAGAGAUAAGUGCUGAAAGCAUCUAAGCACGAAACUUGCCCCGAGAUGAGUUCUCCCUGACUCCUUGAGAGUCCUGAAGGAACGUUGAAGACGACGACGUUGAUAGGCCGGGUGUGUAAGCGCAGCGAUGCGUUGAGCUAACCGGUACUAAUGAACCGUGAGGCUUAACCUU